ACAGGGAAGAACUAGGCGACGGCGAGGGGCCGGAGCGGGCGAUCUCUCUCCUCCACUGAAGACCGGCUGCUGCGCCAUCCUUCUACCUCGCCCCACUCUCCCCAAGUCAGCAGCCGAUCUGCGACCCUCUUCUUCCAUCCCCGGCGCGAGCUCGGCGGCCGCACCAACCUACUCCGGUGGCCCUCCCCAACGUUUCUAUGCCGGCCAGCUUCACCGCCUCACAGCCGCAGCAAGACCCCGCUUGGGGCAGCAUCGUGAAGACUAAGUGCAUCAAUCACUACGGAAGCGACAUCGGCGAGAUUAGAGUCGUCUGUUCUAUACAACAAUAAUUUGAUCAUGGUUGGAAAUAUAAUAAUAUUGUACAUCGGUGAUUGUUGAUUAGGGUCGUUUUUUGACUUCUAAAUAUUCAGAAUUCAUGUUAUAGUUUGAUAUUUUUUCUUCUAAAAUAUCAACUUGCAGCAAGCUUCUCAUAUAAUGUUUUGUUCUGACGCAACAAAAAUACUGUUAUGCGGAUUUGGUGCUUG